rnacentral:rRNA from 2 species
UGACCUCGAAUCAGGUAGGAAU